UACUAUGUCAUGGCAUCUAAUGGCAUGACAUCCAAUUCUACAACUAACAUUAGAAUCAGAAUUCAUCCUAUACAUCUACAGCAUACUCAGCUUCCAUUGAUAGAUUACUCAGAACCUUUUCAAUAUAUUGAACAAGAAUAUAUCCUGAUGUAGACAUUCUAUCAUCAGCAUCCAUGUAUCCUCCCACUCUUAGCUUUUCUCCAA
rnacentral:lncRNA from 1 species